rnacentral:rRNA from 1 species
UACGUAGGGUCCGAGCGUUGUCCGGAAUUACUGGGCGUAAAGAGCUCGUAGGUGGUUUGUCGCGUUGUUCGUGAAAACUCACAGCUUAACUGUGGGCGUGCGGGCGAUACGGGCAGACUUGAGUACUGCAGGGGAGACUGGAAUUCCUGGUGUAGCGGUGGAAUGCGCAGAUAUCAGGAGGAACACCAAUGGCGAAGGCAGAUCUCUGGGCCGUAACUGACUCUGGAGGAGCGAAAGCAUGGGGAGCGAACAGG